CGCGUGCACUGGUUCGGCCGGGCCUUUCCCUCUGGGGAGCCGCAUGCCCUUCACUGGGUGUGUCGGGGAACCCAGGACUUUUACUUUGAACAAAUUAGAUCGCUUAAAGAAGGCCUAUGCUCGAAUACAUUAGCAUGGAAUAAUAGAAUAGGACGCGUGGUUCUAUUUUGUUGGUUUCUAGGACCGCCGUAAUGAUUAAUAGGGACAGUCGGGGGCAUCAGUAUUCAAUUGUCAGAGGUGAAAUUCUUGGAUUUAUUGAAGACUAACUACUGCGAAAGCAUUUGCCAAGGAUGUUUUCAUUAAUCAGGAACGAAAGUUAGGGGAUCGAAGACGAUCAGAUACCGUCGUAGUCUUAACCAUAAACUAUGCCGACUAGGGAUCGGACGAUGUUAUAUUUUGACUCGUUCGGCACCUUACACGAAAGUAAAGUUUCUGGGUUCUGGGGGGAGUAUGGUCGCAAGGCUGAAACUUAAAGAAAUUGACGGAAGGGCACCACCAGGGGUGGAGCCUGCGGCUUAAUUUGACUCAACACGGGGAAACUCACCAGGUCCAGACACAAGUAGGAUUGACAGAUUGAGAGCUCUUUCUUGAUUUUGUGGGUGGUGGUGCAUGGCCGUUCUUAGUUGGUGGAGUGAUUUGUCUGCUUAAUUGCGAUAACGAACGAGACCUUAACCUGCUAAAUAGCCCGCAUUGCUUUGGCAGUGCGCCGGCUUCUUAGAGGGACUAUCGG
rnacentral:rRNA from 1 species